UAGCUGAUCCCAGACCAUUUACACAGCAGCCCUGCAAGAGAGGAGGAGGAGGAGGAGGAUGAGGAGGCAGGUUCAGCUAAGACGGAGCCACCGCAGGAUUCUGGGAUGAACCAACGUUAAAUCCAUCCAUCCAUCACCACUUAUCAGGAGGAGCCAAUCCUAGGAAGCACAGCCAGUCCCAGCUAUAGCCGGCGUGAUCCAUCAUCACACCCAUCGCCGAGGACACCCUGAACGAGGCACCACACCAUCGCACCGACGCUGACCGUCGGAAUGGAAACCUGGAGAAGGUGCUGCGAUGUGGAUUCCAGAAGCCAGGGGGGCAGUCUGAUCCUCCUCCUCCAAGAUACUCACACUUGGUCGGAACUCGGAUGAAAACGUCACGAAUCGUCACGAAAAAACGUCACAUCAAGUCGGAAUGACGCCUCCAUACGACUUUAUGUCGGACAAGAUUUUCUUGUCUGAGUUGCCCCAGUAGCGUAAUUUCAACUUGGCGACCUACAGUCAACAGUAAUUCUACUUUAUAAAUCUUUAAAAAUGUUUAUUUUGUUGAAAGUAUUUAUAGUUAUAAAUGUAGCUGCACGUGUUCAAUUUAGAGAAUAUCAUAUCGUGACCGACAAGACUUGUCAGUGUUUUUUGUUUGUUUGUAGUCU